AGCACUGCGCCAGCCGAAUGGAUUACAUUGAUGUUGUAAAUUAAGGACUUGCCUCCCAUUGCUU
rnacentral:tRNA from 1 species